AAAAAAAGACGGGAGUCAAAGAAUGACAAGUUCGAUGAAGUUAAGUUGUGUAUCAGGUUUUAUUCUAAAUCAAAGUCAAAUUACAUGCUGGAUAAUAAUAUAUGUCGCAUCUCUGGGCUGGACGACCGACGACAGACAAAAAUUAAACCGACAUGGCCUACGGCGG